GACGAACGCUGGCGGCGUGGAUUAGGCAUGCAAGUCGGACGGUAGGGCUUUAUCGUAAGAUAGAGUUUGAGAGUGGCGAACGGGUGAGUAACACGUGAGUAACCUGCCCCAGACUCUGGGAUAACAGUUGGAAACAGCUGCUAAUACCGGAUACGAGACGGAGAGGCAUCUCUACCGUCUGGAAAGUUUUUCGGUCUGGGAUGGACUCGCGGCCUAUCAGCUUGUUGGUGAGGUAAUGGCUCACCAAGGCGACGACGGGUAGCCGGCCUGAGAGGGCGACCGGCCACACUGGGACUGAGACACGGCCCAGACUCCUACGGGAGGCAGCAGUGGGGAAUAUUGCACAAUGGGCGAAAGCCUGAUGCAGCGACGCCGCGUGAGGGAUGACGGCCUUCGGGUUGUAAACCUCUUUCAGCAGGGAAGAAGCGAAAGUGACGGUACCUGCAGAAGAAGCACCGGCUAACUCCGUG
rnacentral:rRNA from 1 species